rnacentral:rRNA from 1 species
GACGAACGCUGGCGGCGUGCUUAACACAUGCAAGUCGAACGGAAAGGCCCUGCUUUUGUGGGGUGCUCGAGUGGCGAACGGGUGAGUAACACGUGAGUAACCUGCCCUUGACUUUGGGAUAACUUCAGGAAACUGGGGCUAAUACCGGAUAGGAGCUCCUGCUGCAUGGUGGGGGUUGGAAAGUUUCGGCGGUUGGGGAUGGACUCGCGGCUUAUCAGCUUGUUGGUGGGGUAGUGGCUUACCAAGGCUUUGACGGGUAGCCGGCCUGAGAGGGUGACCGGCCACAUUGGGACUGAGAUACGGCCCAGACUCCUACGGGAGGCAGCAGUGGGGAAUAUUGCACAAUGGGCGGAAGCCUGAUGCAGCAACGCCGCGUCCGGGAUGACGGCCUUCGGGUUGUAAACCGCUUUCGCCUGUGACGAAGCGUGAGUGACGGUAAUGGGUAAAGAAGCACCGGCUAACUACGUG